rnacentral:rRNA from 1 species
AUUGCUGCAAUAGGGGGAAACCCUGACGCAGCCACGCCGCGUGAAUGAAGAAGGCCUUCGGGUUGUAAAAUUCUUUUUU